GAAAGAGAAGGAUUUGUUUUGAAUCAAGGGAAAAUAUGCAAUGAAGGAAUCUAGAAGUGCCAGUAUAUUAAUACAUGACUGAAUACCUAUGCAGAAGACACAGGCAGUUGACCUUGAAGAGUCUCAUCCAAGAAAACUGUCUUGUAAAAGCAGUUCUAAAACCUGAAGAAAAAUGUGACUGGGCAAACAUCAGGAGGCCUGAAACACUUCAGUACUUCAUACCAUCAGGUCCUUAUGCCAAGGCAUUCUGCUGCUGGAGGAUGACAAUGCAGCAACAAAACAAGCCUGAGUCCUACAAGAGCUGAAAAUAACGCAGCAGCACAUGGGAAGGCACAGCUGGUACUCAGGCUUAUUGCUACCAUCAAGGCUGAAUGGCUAUCAGGAUUAAGAAGGAGCCAGGCUAAAACAAAACAGCACCAGGCAGUUUCUCCCCUCCUUCCCCGCUCCAGUUCUGCAGUUCUGCUCUUCCCUGCUAAAUACACGGUUAACUCACAUCCCACUAUUAAUUCAGUUUAAAACAGCAGAUUGCACUCAUCUGUACAAGACUACCGACUGGGCUUGUGCCCAUUCUUUUACAGCACAGAUUGCUUCCAGUAUUGAAGAGAGAACCAUCUGGGAGGAAAAGCACAUGCUAGGCUACUUAAUUGGUGCUUUCAGUAAAACAGAGUACAGUCAGGAUUGACAGACCUACAGAAAAUAAUGAAGCAGUGAUCAUAAAGUAAGGGAAGGAAAAAGGAGCAUGCCCCCAGUCCGAACUCUGAAAAGACUGGGAAAUAAAAUAGCAUUUGUGACAAACCCCUCA
rnacentral:lncRNA from 1 species